rnacentral:rRNA from 1 species
GCUCAAUGAAAAUUUUUAAAUAGCUGCAGUAUUAAUAACUGUACUAAGGUAGCAUAAUCAAUAGUUUUUUAAUUAAAAACUUGAAUGAAAGAUUUAAUGAAAAAAUAACUUUAUUUAAUUAAAUAAAAUUAAAAUUUUUAUUUAGAUAAAAAAUUCUAAAUAAUUUAAAUAGACAAAAAGACCCUAAAAACUUUAUAAAUAAAUAAAUUAAUUUUAAAUAUUUAUUUAAUUGGGGAAAUUUAAAAAUUUAAUUAAUUUUUUUUAUAUAAUACAUAAAUUAAUGAAUUAUUUAAGUUUAUUAAAAAAUUAAAUUAAGUUACUUUAGGGAUAACAGUAUAAUUUUUUUUUUAAGCUCAUAUUAAAAAAAAAGUUUAUAACCUCGAUGUUGAAUUAAAAUUUAAAAUUAACGAAAAAAUUAUUUAUUUAAGUCUGUUCGACU